AUACAAUUCCAAAGUUGGAAUUAAAAUAAGAAAUUAUAAACUAUAAUAUAAAAAAAAGUAAGUUUUGGAAUCUUUACUUCUCCACACGGUUGAAAAGAAAAGAAAAAGAAAUCAGAAAUCUUGAAUGGUGCUUACGUGAUAAGUGCUUUCUUUAAUCGGGCCGAGAGAAGCAAAACUGGGCCCAAGGCCCAACAAGCUCUCGCACGUAUGAUGUCACCGAAAAUAUCUGGCUGCCAAACGGGAUCCACUUGUCAGCGGAAGAUUACGGAUUCAGAUUUGUACGCUUCGUUCAGCGUGUUUGCUUCCGAUCCCAUUGCGUCGUUGGUUGGUAAUUUAUUUGGUGCCUUUCUCCCAACCUUAGCCAUUCAGACUCACUUCCGUUCAGGACUAUGCCGGAAGAAAAGAAGCCAGUAAUUUUGUGGCGGUAUAUCGGAAAACUUGAAGCCUCUGCUCGUCGAUCCUUCAGCACUACGGACGGUGAACCACUCUGGAAAAGCGAUAAGCGAUUUGGCGCCAGUGGUGGCAGUGGUAGUGAUGGCGAUGGCACUAGUUGUAAAUUUGCCUGCAUUACCGUUGUAGAAAAGAGAAACCGGAAGGAGUUCCUGCCGACGUCCGCUCAGUUGCUUAAGCAUCCAUCAUCUAUUCUUGCUUUGGUGCACAGAGAAGCAACGCUCUUCGCCGCUGGUGCUGUAUCGGGGGCUGUCGCGAAGACUGCCACUGCUCCGCUCGAGCGAAUCAAGCUUCUUAUGCAGACUCACGGAGCAAGAAUUGCGGAAGAAGGAGCUAAGAAGUCUAUUGGUUUUAUUGAGGCAAUAAGAACCAUAGUAAAGGUGGAAGGAGUUAAAGGACUUUGGAAAGGGAACUUUCCUCAGGUUAUACGCAUCAUACCAUAUAGUGCUAUCCAGCUCUUUGCGUAUGAAAAUUAUAAGAACCUUUUCAGGGGGGAAGAUGGAGAACUUUCUUUGAUUGGGAGACUCGCUGCUGGUGCUUGUGCUGGCAUGACAUCCACCUUCGUAACAUAUCCAUUAGAUGUUUUGAGGUUACGCAUGGCAGUUGACCCUGGGUUUCGAACGGCAUCUGAGAUUGCCUUAAGUAUGCUACGAGAGGAAGGCAUUACAUCUUACUACAGUGGUCUUGGACCAUCCCUUUUUGGCAUUGCCCCUUACAUUGCCGUGAACUUUUGCAUUUUUGACUUGGUAAAAAAAUCUUUGCCAGAGGAAGCUCGAAGGAGAACUGAAACGUCUGUAUUCACAGCCUUGCUUUCGGCUUCCCUAGCCACAGUCAUGUGCUAUCCUUUGGACACUGUGAGAAGACAGAUGCAAAUGAAGGGUACACCUUACAAGACAGUGUUUGAUGCUUUUGCAGGUAUAUGGGCCAGUGAUGGAUUUAUUGGAUUCUAUAGGGGUUUACUGCCCAACUUCUUGAAGAAUUUACCAAGCAGCAGCAUCAAGCUUACCACAUAUGACUUCGUCAAGCGUCUUAUUGAGACCAGUGAAAAUGAGUACCAGAGAAUUACCGAGGAAAAUCGUGAAAAAUAUAACAAAAAAUUCACUGGCUAAAUUUUUCCGAAUUGGUUCUUCGCCAUCUUUAUCCAUCGUGUUUUCAUUGCGGUUCGAUGAAGGCCAGAACUAGAAGGUUCAAAACUAGAUGAAACGUCUGUACAAAGGGUAGCACAUGACUACGGCUAGAGAAGCAGAAAGCAAGGCUGUGAAUACAGACGUUUCAGUUCUACUUGGACCUUCCUCUUGCCAAGAACUCUUGUACCCUUGUACACACCAAAUUAUUGUUAAGGAACCAAAUAUUUAUUUGAAUAUAACACAAAAAGAACCAAUGGCAAAAGUUCUUUAAUUUAAAACAUGAAGUCGAAUCCCACGCUUCCAUCCAAAACUUGUAUAUAUUUACUUUUCUUUCUA